GAACCCCCUCACCCAUUCUUAGUUUAAAUUCUUCCUGCUGGGAGCCGAGAUGGUGCGGGAGCCAGGUGGAGUCUCAACCUCUCCCCUCAGUGACGGACUCAGAGACCCCACUAACAUGCCUGAAAAAGAUAAAAAAUACCAAACUUGGAGAACCUGAGGCAAAGAUGGUGCAGUGCACAAGGACAGGAGAUGAGAGCACGUGACAGGUGUCCUACGGGCAGCUCGGGCCUCAGGCUCCCUGGCGAUUCCCAUGCACAGCCCCCGGGGAGAAGAGCCUUGUUGAUGUUGAUCAGCAGGGAAGGAGGGACGGCUACGAGAGAGGCUGGAGGACAGUGGAGACAUUCAGAUCCUGCUUCUGCGCAGGAAGGGCUGGACCUCAAGAUGAAUCGCAGUUUUGGGGACCUCUUCUUGCUACAAUUUUGUGCACCUGUAGACUCCAAUGGGUGCAUGCUGAUGGCCGUAUCAUUAUCUCCAGUCUGUGGAGAGGUCAACGGUACUCUCAGCCACCGUUUUCUGAGAACAAGUUUGCCACUGUUAUUGCCCACCCUGGACUGCAGUAGCAGAAGCCACAUGUGGUGCUCCCAGUAGAGGACGGGAUGCUCCGUCCUCGUCUGCCCCCUUCCCUUGGAUUGAUGGAUGCUUCUCCGCACAUUGGCCUGAAUUCUGCUCCACUCUUCCCUGUUGCAACAGCAAUUCCUCUAAAUUCAGUGGCGGUCGACCUGACCCUGCGUAUUUCUUGUCCCAGUGCCAUUUUCUUUACCUGGAAUACUGCUCUACCUCUUCUUUUAAAGUAUUGAAUUUUCAAUAUCUUGUAUGUUCCAGUUAAAAAUAUAUCAUAAACUCUUUU
rnacentral:lncRNA from 1 species